rnacentral:rRNA from 1 species
CCUACGGGUGGCAGCAGUGGGGGAUAUUGCACAAUGGGGGAAACCCUGAUGCAGCGACGCCGCGGGGGUGAAGAAGCGCCUCGGCGCGUAAAGCCCUGUCAGCAGGGAAGAAAAUGACGGUACCUGAAGAAGAAGCCCCGGCUAACUACGUGCCAGCAGCCGCGGUAAUACGUAGGGGGAAAGCGUUAUCCGGAGUUACUGGGUGUAAAGGGGGCGCAGACGGCGGUGCAAGCCAGGAGUGAAAGCCCGGGGCCGAACCCCGGGACUGCUCUUGGAACUGCGUGGCUAGAGUGCAGGAGGGGCAGGCGGAAUGCCUGGUGUAGCGGUGAAAUGCGUAGAUAUCAGGAGGAACACCGGUGGCGAAGGCGGCCUGCUGGACUGCAACUGACGUUGAGGCCCGAAAGCGUGGGGAGCAAACAGGAUUAGAUACCCCGGUAGUC